rnacentral:lncRNA from 1 species
GGAGGAGAGGAAAGGAGGCGAGGGACGUCCAUCUAAUGAUAGAAUAUCAGACCUCACUUGGUCAGCAUCCACAGAGGGCAUGGGUUGGCUUGGGAGACCCACUGUGGGCUUAGCUUUGUGUCAAGGCCAGCCUUUGCACAACAUGUGCCAGGAGACCAGCUGUCUGGACGUCAAAGGAUACUGGCAAACACAAAGCAAUGGGGACAGAGAGAGAGAGCGCAGUUCAGGAAAACCCAACACACGUGAGGAAACAGUACGCUUCUCGGGAGGCAGCACGGGGUAGUGGGGAAGGAAUCUGGGCUUUGGAGAAGCCUUCCUGAGCUUGAUUCCCAACUUUGCUGCUGACUUACAAGCUGUAUGGUCUUGGCCAAGCUACUCAAUCUCUCUGUUACAUAGUUUCCUGACCUACAGUAUACGUAGAUUGGCAAUGGCCACAAAUAUCUUGUAGCUCUUUUCUUUGAGAGGUGGAGCCUAUUUCCCCAACCCUUGAAUCUGGACUGCCUUGUGGCUGAUUUUGCCCAAUAGAAUAAAGCAGGGGUAUUGUAUGAGUCCCAAGUCUAGGCUCUGAUAAAUUUAGAAGCUUCCACUCCUUCUGUUGGAAUUCUGCCACCAUGUGAACAGCCCAGGCUGGCCUACAAGGAUGAGAGGCUAUGCGAGGAAGGGAUGAGUGGUUCCAGCUGAGGGUCCCUAAUACAGUAGCCUGCCAACCACUAGACUUGUGAAGGCACUGUAGGUUGACUUGUGAGGUCAACCAGUCCCCAACAACUCACCAGGAGACGGAAAGCCAGAGGAUCAGAAGGACUGCCCAGCUGACCUACAGAACUAAAGCAUUCCUGAUUGACGUGGGAAUUGAGCAUCUGUGGCCUAGAUCCCAUAUGCUACCUUUUCUUCCUGGGGCAAACGUGAAAUGUUGAACGAGGUAAGACAUUCAGAUAUGAUGCUAAUUACUCUCUAAGGCCCUUUUCCACCUAUCUCUUCUUCAUCCUCACUUAAACUGGCCCACUUCCAGUCCUGAUUCUCUCUCUCCUGGACCAUGCAAUAAUUCCUUAAUGUAUUUCCCCACUUCCUGCCUUCCCAUUCCACACUUUCCCUUUUGCCAGCAUUAGGUCCCAGAGUACCUUCCUAAACAAGUCAUUCUUUUAUCUCCCACUCACCCUAAACCUUCACUGGCUCCCCACUGCCUCCCAAGAAGAGCUAGACUCCUUAGGUUGAAACUCAGGGUAGGACUUUAUAGUGGUUAGGAAGGCAGACUUUGGACCAAAUCCCAGCUCCACCACCUCCCAUACAUCAUUCCUUGGCAAAUUGCUUGACUUUUCUAAAUAUCUGUUUUCCUAUCUGUAAAAUAAAAAUAACAAUGAGAAUGUCUACUUCCUAAUGUGCUGAGAAAUAAGUGAUGCAAUGUAAGGUACAGCACUGUGCCUUACACACAGUAAGAAUUCAGCCAACCUAACUGGUAUUACUAAUCUUCCUGAAUCUAGUUUCAGCCAGCUUUUCACCACUCUGUCUCGUAAGCACAGCCUGCACUCUUUCAAAUAGGCAUCACCCUUUCCUUCCUUUGCUAAUCACCUUACCCUGCCCAUAGCAUGCUCUCCUGCCACUACUCUCUUCAUUACAUAAAAUCCCAGGCAUUGGCUGGGGGUGGUGGCUCACGCCUGUAAUCCCAGCACUUUGGGGGGCCAAGGUGGAUGGAUCAUUUGAGGUCAGGAGUUCGAGACCAGCCUGGCCAACAUAGUGAAACCCUGUCUCUACUAAAAAUACAAAAAUUAGCCAGGCAUGGUGAUGGACAACUGUAAUCCCAGCUACUUGGGAGGCUGAGGCAGGACAAUCACUUGAACCCAGGAGGCAGAGGUUGCAGUGAGCCAAGAUCGUGCCAUUGCACUCCAGUCUGGGAGACAGAGCAAGAUUCUGUCUCAUAAAAAAAAAAUAAAAGAAAAUCCCAGGCAUCCUUCAAAGUCUAGCUCAAAUAUCACCUCCUGCAUGAAGGCUUUUCUGACUGCCAGGGUCAUACAUGAACAGCCCCACCAUUGAAUUCACAUGGCAUUUGUUUAUGGUUUAUGUAUCACUUUUCUGACACUUAGUACAGAAGUCAACUGGCCACAUUUCUCCACCCCAGGCUGACCUCAUCCUUCCAUCCUAGGCUGUCCCAAUCUCUCCACCCCAGACUGGCCCCAUCCCUCCACCACAGGCUGGCCUCAUCCCUCCACCCCAGGUUGGCCCCAUACCUCCAUCCUAUUCUGGCCCAUCCCUUCACCCCAGGCUGGCCCCAUCCCUCCACUCCAGGCUGGCUCCAUCCCUCCAUCCUAGCCUGGCUCCAUCCUUCCACCCCAGGCUGACCCCUUCCCUCCACCCCAGGCUGGCCCCAUCCCUCCACCCCAGGCUGGCCCCAUCCCUCCACCCCAGGCUGGCCCCAUCCCUCCACCCCAGGCUGGCCCAUCCUUCCACUCCAGGCUGGCUCAACCCUCUAUCCUAGGCUGGCCCCAUCCCUCUAUCUAAGGCUACUGCUCCUCUGGAGAAAGUCUCCUUUAAAUGACUCCACCCUUGGGAGUUUCAGCAACUCCUCCCUGCCCUCUGGUCUCUGGAUUGAGAGAUGACAGCUCCUCUGCUUGUAGUAGCUACUGGUUCCUGCACCAUACUUCAUAUUUCCCUACCCUUCACCUUCACCUUUGUUGACAAAACCUCAACAGUAUUAAGGGCCCUGCUGAAAUGCUUGCCUGUGGGCAAAUAAGGUGAAGGAUUUGACUCUUCAUGGACCUGUGCCCAUGUGGAUUCAUGGCUAGAAGAGGGACCCUACCAUGCUCCUGACUCCUGGGAAAAUCCUACCCUGGGUUGGCAGAGUCUCAUAGACACCAGUUGCUGUCUGCCAGAGAACAGCUGGUGGGCCUGCCCCAGCCCUGGUGGGGUGCUGUGCAGGAUCUGGAAGCAGCUAAGGGGAAGGAGUCCCACCCCCUCACCCAGAUGGUUUUGGUCUCUGGGAGGGCUUCAAGGAGGACCUCGCCCUCCAGGGACAGAGGGACAGCUUUUCAGUGGCUGUGAUUAGACUUCGACUCCUCUGCAUUUCCUGCAGGGCUUAGGGCACCUUCUAAGUUCAGAUUUAUCUCUUCUAACCCACACCACUCACUGGCUGAAAAAUGAUUGAACAGUGGUCCACCCAGGCAUGGAUUCCUCUUCAGCCAGAAUGAGUAUGACCCAACAUAGAAGUCUUCUUUGAUAUAAUUUUAAGAGGAGGGAUGUGGAAGUCAGUUACACAACAAUGAUGUAGUUUAAUCGCAUUUUGGUAAAAUACAAACUGUGAAUAUGUUUGUGAAUGCUCCUGGAAGGGCCUAGGAAGGAAAAGCACAAACUGUUAACUCGCCCAGGGAAGACAGGUGGGAAAUAUUCACUUACUACUUAAAGAAAAAAUAUGUUGAUUUUGUAAUUAAAAAAAAAAUCUACAGCUGUCUUUGCUAUUCAGCAGGCCUAGCUUUAGAUCAACGAAUUGCCUGGGGCAAUGGACCAACAGGUGGGUUUGGCUUUUCUUCUGGGCUGCUGUGGUUUCACCAGCUGACCCCUCCUCUUCCAAAAACGUAAAGUGUGAAUUCACCACGUUGCAGGAACCUCGGCUUUCAGUGCGUGUGGACUUAGCUGGGGGCUGAGGGGCUGCACACCCUGGAAAAACAAAGGCAACUGCUGCUCCAGAAGCCCCACUGGGAGAGCCCUGUGGGGCGACUACAUCUUGACCUGCAAAUUUCCUUCCCUCUUUGCCCCUAGUCCCGACCAUUUCCACUAGCAAGGAGUUUGAAGGAUGUAGACUCCUUGAGUCCCCAUCACGCGAAAUAGGUGGUUUGUACUACUUCGAACUUGGAGGUGAUGCGCAAAAAACAAUGACCGAGGUGACGCAAUAAUGCCAGAGCUGGAUGGGGAGCCCAGCACCUGCCAAGCAGCCCCGUGCCCAGCCACCAACCAGGGUGAUUGUGGUCUAGGCUAGGGAGGAAAGCCCAGUGCCUGACUGCUAACCGAGAGCUCAAACCUGGAGUCUUAAUUUUUUCCAGGUCAAAAGGGUGUUUUCAUUGCUUGGCAAUAACUGUGGGGGCAAGGAGGGGUUUCACAGUAUAGCUUUCCAUUUUUCAUUGGAUGUCAUUUCAGAAGAAGGAGAUGGGUCCUGAGACCAGGGGAUUUAGUCAUCAGCAAGUUAAGGAGAGGAUAUUGUGAGAGCUGAGGGAGGGAGAGAGGCAGAGAAUGCUUAAAAGCAGACUGUUUCUCCUUUGCUUUUUUUGACUCCAGUUUCUUUACUCCAGAACCAAACAUAAAAAUGAAACACAUUUGACCUUUCAUUGUUAGGCUCCUCUGGAGAGCUCGCUGUGAGACUUACCAGGUUGAGAGCCCUGUGGAGAGUCUAUGCAAACUCCUGUUAUCCACCUGAGCCUGCAGUUUGACCGCAAAAUGACCAAUUGUGUGAACUCCAAGACCCCACAGUGUGUGGGAAAUACAACAAACUGCAGCCUUCUAGGAGCUUAGUGCAGACUGCCUUCUGCAGUGGAAUUAGCCAGGGGUUCUCGCCAUCAUCUUUCACUUUGUAGCGAUUGACCAGGAGAUGGAUGCUUGAAUCCCACCAGUUCCCCUUCACUGAGGCAGAAGGGGCUUAGAGAGGAGAUACAGAUAAUAUGAAAAAGUAGCAGAAAAAGGCAUGAGAAAUAAAGAGUGGAAAAGGAGAGGAAUUGUGUUAAAAGCAAAGAAAAACAAUUCAAAAACCUGUGAGAAGUGUACAUGCCCAGUUUUCAAAAUAAGGCUGUUUCCAAAGACUGGAAAAUGUACAGUCUUAACAAUCAAGAUUGCAACUCUCAUCCAUCCAAAUAUUUUACAUUUCCCACAUCUGUAUACUAUUUUACUUUGUAGGAUAAAUGGGUCGCUGAAAAGGUAUACAUAUGUCCAUUUUUGAGUGGUAUUUUAGGUGUACUGAAAAAUCUUUUUUAUGACUCCAUCAUGAACAUUUUAGAAACCUCGUGAUUUUGCUUAUAGACCCAUAUGUGGGAUGUUGUUAGACCUUCCCAAAUUAUGUGUGAGAAAUGGGUGAUAAAAUGCUAACAUUUAAAUAACUCUCCAAUAUAUGAUGGUAUAGAAAUUAGGCAUGAAGUUCUCUACUCUCAUUUUGAUGGACCCGUGGAUUUAGGCAUAUGCAGUCUUGGGGAGUAGAGAGCUUGGUGCCAUAUAUUUAAAUGCUGGCAUUACUGAGGUUGGGGGCAGGGGGUCACAGAAGACCCAAAAUGAACAGUUCAUCUCUGGAAUAAGGUGGAGUUGACAAAUCUAGGUUGAAUAGCAUGUUUUCCUUGACAUGAUUUAUCCUUGCUUUGACUCUGGCUAUCCUGAGGUUGUGUAGUUACCCCAUAUGUAUAACUGGCUUGGUUUAUUAAUCCUGUGGCUGAAGACUGUGCAACUGAUUUAGUAUUUAUUGAGCUCCCACAACAUGCCAAACACAGUAUAAACCCCAGCAUGUAGAGCUUCACAUGUGAUUCAGCAACACAUGCAUUUUACACACAUAGCAAAGACAUCAACGCAUGAAGGUAAAUCAAUCAAGAACCUGCCUUGGGAAACAAAGGUGCUCCUGACCUCUCGUCUGUGAGGGACAGGCCCUGUGUUCACUCCCAGAUCUAGCCACACUCUUGAGGUUAGUUUUGUGCCUUGCAUUUGAAAGACUAACAGAUGUUCAGGAAUGCAAACCACAGGACAGAGGUCGUGGGUGAGCCUACCUGAGAAAAUAAACCUGGAACUUAGCUAUCCCAGUAAAACAGCAGAUUGAAAAUUCACAAGGACAAAAAAUCAGACGGUUAUAGGAACUGGAAUAUCCUUACCUUAGCAUCUCUCACAAUUGCUAUUUCCAGGUAGCUGUUGGAGCAUGCAUUGAAACACUCUUCUGCCAGUUUAAUGAGAUAAAUCUAUUGAUUGGCUGCCAAAAGUGUGACCUGGUGACAAAGCUUGCAAAGAGGAUUACAGAACCUCCCAUCAGCCUUGAGAAGGGCUGCUGCCAAGUACCAAGUUGGCUCAGUUCCCAGCCUGACUGCCUGUAUUACUCCUUGCAGGAAGAGGACUGUGUAUACAUCUUAGAUGCUUGAUAUUAACCAAAAUGAAUUAUUAAAUAAAAUUUUCUACCUACAGUCCUACGCAGUUCUCUCUGGGACUCACCUCUGAUUUUUUUGAAAUUCGGUUUGAUUUAUAAACUAGUCCACAACACAUUUCAGAUGUUGUAAGAAUUAAUUGCUGUUCCGUUGCUGAUUUUCAUAAUAUGUAAAGAUGUUUAUAAGCACAAUCUAAUUCUCCAACCUCUUUAAGCUCUUUAUAAAGUCCAUGUAAGUGUUUCAAACUUAAGUUGUAGGCAUGACAGAAACCAGUGGCAGCUUUUCUAGUAAUUAAUGGAGAUGCUUGUUUUUCAUAGUUGAUAUAAACUUAAGCUAAUCAAGGAGCACUUUUUCUAACACCCUGACAACCAGGAUUUAAAAUAAUUCAUGGUAUGUAAAUUUGUUUUUUGUUGUUUUUUGUUGUUUUUGUUUUUUUUGUUUUUUUGAGACUAGAUUUUGCUCUGUCACUGAGACUGGAGUGCAGUGGUGUAAUGAUAGCUCACUGCAGCCCAGUGAUCCUCCCAGGCUCAAGUGAUCCUCCUGCCUUUGUGUCCCAAGUAGCUGGGACCACAGGUGUGCACCACCACGUCCGGCUAUUUUUUGUAGAGAUGGAGUUUUGCCAUAUUUCCCAGGCUGGUCUUGAACUCCUGGGCUCAAGCAAUUCUCCCUCUUCGGUCUCCCAAAGUUUUGGAAUUAUAGAUGUGAGCCAUGGUACCUGGCCAUGGUAUGUAACUUUAUAAUACAAUUGACCUAAGGUUGAAUGAUGAUAUUCCUUCUGAAUUGAUUGGACUGAUACAUAAGAAAUAUGUAAGUAAACUGUUGAACGAAUCCCUAUAUAUUCUGAUUUCAAUAAUUUGCCUCUUUGUGAUUGAGCUGGUAUUGCCUGAAGACUAAAAGAGUAUUCUCUAAGUAUGGCAUGUAACACCGUCAAAUUCAGCUCCAAAUUAUUAACACCUUUGGCAGGUACAACUAAAGCUUCAUUCGGAUGUUUCUGAGAUUCAUUAGAAAGAGGAUUCCCGCCCCCACCCCCCACCCCGAGAUGGAGUCUUGUUCUGUCACCCAGGUUGGAGUACACUGGCACAAUCUCAGCUCACUGCAACCUCUGCCUCCCUGGGUUCAAGCAAUUCUCCUGCCUCAGCCUCCCGAGUAGCUGGGAUUACAGGCGUGCGCCACCACGCCUGGCUAAUUUUUGUAUUUUAAGUAGAGACAGGGUUUCAACACGUUGGCCAGGCUGGUCUCAAACUCCUGACCUUGUGAUCUGCCUGCCUCGGUCCCCCAAAAUGCUGGGAUUACAGGUGUAAGCCACCAUGCCCAGCCCUAGAAAGGAUAAUUCUUAAGGUGCUUAAUCUUGGUUGCACAUUAAAAUCCCCUGAAGUGCUUUGGAAAAUGCUAGUGUCCAGGCACCAUCUCAAAUCAACUAGACUCUUGGGAGGAGAGCCCAGACAUCAAUUACAAAAAGAAAAAAAAGUUCCCCAGGUGAUUCUAGGAGCAGCCAGGGUUGAGAACCAGUGAUUCAAACCUUCCAACAAAGAGCCGACGAUGAAUCAGAUCCCUCCCCAAAUAAUCCCUCUCCUUCCCCUCUACCAUCUACACUCUCCACACAUGACCAUCAAAGGAACUCUCUGAGGAAAUGAGAAAUGUCUGGCCCUGAGCCUCCCAAGUAAUAUAGCUGCUGGAAGCACAGGAGCCAGUCCUCGGGAUGCCUGGGAGAUGAGCUUAUCUGGGGCAGGGGUGGGUUGCACUAUUAGCACACAGGUUCUUUGUUCUCCAAUCCACGGAUGAAGCUCAAGUUCAUUUAGCACCAUUGCCAGAGGUAACCUCCAUACCCAUCUUUGCCUGCCUUUUCCUUUCUCCCAAGCCAGCCUUUCCUACCCUUUACUGUGUGCAAAAAGUCUAGCCCUGUAACUACUAAAGAUUCCUAUGCCAACCAGCCCAACCGUGAUCACUCCCACUCCCACCAUGGUUGUUGACAUGAAUGUAAUAGGAUUGAACCCUUGUCAUUCCCAUAUCAUCCCUCUUUCCUUUCCUUUUAGGGCACAUUUUAAUGAAUGAAUUGAGCUUAUUUCUGAAUAAGAGAAGCAGGAGGAGGUGAAACAGUGAUUCUUGUGUUCAGUGAGCUGGGAAAGUAGUUGAACCCUACAGAUGGUGACUGAGUUACUGGGAACACAGAGGCUGAUCUGACAGCUGGAUAUUAUGUAUCAUUUCCCAAGACUCCUGCCCUCACUGCCCAAGUUGCUUUUCCAACAGUGUGGAGACCUUUGUCCCAAGGCACUUGUCCUCAUUUACAGAACUCACAGGAGGUUAAGGUGAUGAUUAUCAGCCUGGUAUCAUGCUCCACAGUCUUCACCUUUUCCCUUAACCCUGGAGGUAAUUAGUGUUUGAUCUACACAUCAUGUGGGUGGUAGCUUAUUCUUCUGUUCUGUCCUUAAGUAAACUUCUGCCGGUCCUUGAUUUCUGGGUUGAUCAUGUUCCAAGAAUCACUACAGAGCAGGUGCUGAGCAGUCAGAUGACAGCUGUUGAUCUGUUGCAAGUGAGCAAUUAGAGACUGCAGGAGAAUGCCACGCUACACAGUUUACAUUGAGUAUUCAGAAAACCAAAUAUUUGAGUGCCCACUUUGUGGCAAACACUGAAUGUGUACCCACACAUACACACACAUACACAAACACACAUACACAGAGGAUGUCUGUCCUUAGGUACAAUUGAAUGACCUCUUAAGUGAAUUGGACCUUUUCCUCUUUAUUUAUCUAUCUCUUCAUUGACUAAUUCGUCUCAUCAUUUUUAAAUAGUAGUUGGGGAGGA